rnacentral:rRNA from 1 species
GACGAACGCUGGCGGCGUGCUUAACACAUGCAAGUCGAGCGGAAAGGCCCUUCGGGGUACUCGAGCGGCGAACGGGUGAGUAACACGUGGGUAACCUGCCCUUCACUCUGGGAUAACUCCGGGAAACCGGGGCUAAUACCGGAUACGACCACUUUAGGCAUCUUCGGUGGUGGAAAGUUUUUCGGUGGAGGAUGGACCCGCGGCCUAUCAGCUUGUUGGUGGGGUAAUGGCCUACCAAGGCAGUGACGGGUAGCCGCCNGAGAGGCGACCGGCCACACUGGGACUGAGACACGGCCCAGACUCCUACGGGAGGCAGCAGUGGGGAAUAUUGCGCAAUGGGCGGAAGCCUGACGCAGCGACGCCGCGUGAGGGAUGACGGCC